CCUGCCGUUUCUCGCGUGCUCUCAUUUAGCUAGGAGUCACCUACAUCAUGCCAUCUGAAUCUUGGGUUCUGAACUUCUGAUCCAAGUUUCCCUGAGCAACAUGAACGGCAUAUAACAUCUGAAUCUUGGGCUGUCAGGUUGUAUAAUUCUGGCGUUCUUCACCUCCCGCUUACAACCAAGUAAAUUUUGACAACAAAUUCACUUCUGCACUAGUAGAGUAUACUGGAUAGGGAUGAAUAAAGUCACUGCAGUCUUGAGCUUAUUAUAACUUGUCAGUUCAGACUUCAGACAGAACCCGGGUCUAGCUUUAGCCUGAAACUUGGUGAAAUACCAACAACUUCACAAUCAUAUGUGUCACCAACCAAGUUUACCAGCUACCAAACCUCUAUGGUGAGCUGAAAAAAAAACACUCCACAGAACUCGUAUAUUCUGGUCUUCUUUACCUUCCUAUUUCAACCAAGUACUAGAUGAGCCGAUUGAAGCCUUGCUCGUUGAUCAAAAUCGCAGCUUUUGGCCCAGCUGGGUCUGUACAAGAGCAAGGAGGAGGCCGCCAGGCAAGAAGAGGUGCUGGGGAAGCUUGACAAGAUUGUGAAAGAGUGGGUUAAGGAGUUGGCUAUUCAGAGAGGCCAAGUCAACGCAAAUGUCGUGCUUUUCACCUUCGGGUCAUACCAUCUAGGGGACAACAAGUUCAUCUGCGGCAGCUAUCACUGUGUGCAGUCC